rnacentral:misc_RNA from 1 species
GGAUCAGGAAGUUCAUUUCGGAAUCUUCAAAAGGCACACAAGUAUAAAUAGUGUCAGCAUUAAUAGUAGGCAAGCAAAUAACUUUCUAAUAGAUGCAAGAAUACCAUUUCAAAUCAAAAUAUCACUUGCCUGUCCAAUGGUUCACAUUGGCAGAACUAAACUAAAAUUGGGGAAAACAAGAACCAGUAACUAGAUCGAACAAUCAAGAAAAGCAUUAGUGAAUAAUAUGGGUUUUUCUUUCAAGGUAAACAUGAUUAGAGAAGAACUCAAGAUUCAAAAAGGACCAGCCAAUUCCAGAAUGCCCAUUUACACACACAAGUAUUUUGCAGGAAUUAUGGCAAUUCAUAACCACCGCAUAUAAGCAGCAGUUUCAAAUCAUCCUACUGAAUUUAGUUCCAUCCAAUGGAAGCAUUAAGAAGGACAACAACAGAAAUCAAUUCAAGAUCUAUCAUCUAUUUAAUUAACUCCUACACCUGAAAAUACCUGAUUUCAAGAAAAUGAACAAAAUUGUGAAAACUGUAUGCAUUUAGACCUAAUUCUCCUAUAUCUACAGCAUCAAACUAUCAUUAGUGAUUAAAGGAGUUAAAAAGUACUAGUUAGAGUGUCAGCUGAGCCAUUGAUCAAUUACCAUGCUCCAAAAUUGACCCACUAAAGCAAGCAGCUACACGUUCGACUGGCGAUAAGUUUUCCGUUAUUUUCAAGGAAAGGGAAAAAAAACAGAGAGAAGAAUUAAUUAUUUAGAUGCUUUUCAUAUAAUUGAACCCAGAUUUAAUGGCAAAACACUCACUUCAAUUUGCAUAAGAAUGUUGUU